rnacentral:rRNA from 1 species
UACGUAGGGGGCAAGCGUUGUCCGGAAUCAUUGGGCGUAAAGAGCGCGUAGGCGGUCCGAUAAGUCCGCUGUGAAAGUCAAGGGCUCAACCCUUGAAUGCCGGUGGAUACUGUCGGGCUAGAGUCCGGAAGAGGCGAGUGGAAUUCCUGGUGUAGCGGUGAAAUGCGCAGAUAUCAGGAGGAACACCGAUGGCGAAGGCAGCUCGCUGGGACGGUACUGACGCUGAGACGCGAAAGCGUGGGGAGCAAACAGG